rnacentral:lncRNA from 1 species
UAGAUCUGUCUCGAGAGAACCACCGAGAAGUAAUUGCUACAGUUAUAAGGAAACUUCUUAACCACAUACUUGAUAAUUCAGAAGAUGAUACUAAGUCAUUGUUUCUUAUUAUAAAGAUUAUUGGAGACCUUUUACAAUUCCAAGGAUCUCACAAGCAUGAAUUUGACUCCCGAUGGAAAAGCUUCAACUUAGUAAAGAAAUCAAUGGAAAAUCGGGUCAGUAUUUUCACCUAAAAGUCUGCACUAAUUGUUUUAAAGUCGUAUAAUAACCUCGUAAUUUGGGUAUUAUUCAGCAUAUAGAAGAAGUUUUCCUAAAAGGAAAAAUAGUAGAUUUAAAAGUAUGUAAAAGUUAAAAACAUCAUGGUAGAAAUCAAAUGGAUCCUAGCAAAAAAUAUAUUUUUCUUAUACAGAAUCUUCUGCCUGUUUCCAUGACAGUCUCUAAACUCUCAAUGGGAAUUUGGACAAUAGCAUUGAGACUACCUUGUAAGAACUUGAAGGAAUUUAAAAAUAGGAGGAAUUAUCUAUGGGCAUGAAUUUAAAGCAUUACACUUUAUGUAGAUCUG